rnacentral:snoRNA from 2 species
CAAAAUGAUGAUAACGAGUCAGAAGACUCCAUUUAUAACCCAGCUCAUUCGAUAAUCUGUUCAUGAGACGAAACCUGUCAAAUGCUCUGAUU